UACGUAGGGCGCAAGCGUGUCCGGAAUUAUUGGGCGUAAAGAGCUCGUAGGCGGUCUGUCACGUCGGCUGUGAAAACCCGAGGCUCAACCUCGGGCCUGCAGUCGAUACGGGCAGACUAGAGUUCGGUAGGGGAGACUGGAAUUCCUGGUGUAGCGGUGAAAUGCGCAGAUAUCAGGAGGAACACCGGUGGCGAAGGCGGGUCUCUGGGCCGAAACUGGACGCUGGAGGAGCGAAAGCGUGGGGAGCGAACAGG
rnacentral:rRNA from 1 species